AACGAACGCUGGCGGCAGGCCUAACACAUGCAAGUCGAACGCCGUAGCAAUACGGAGUGGCAGACGGGUGAGUAACGCGUGGGAACAUACCCUCCGGUUCGGAAUAACUCAGGGAAACUUGAGCUAAUACCGGAUACGUCCAAGGUUUUAAUCGGCCUUGGAGAAAGAUUUAUCGCUGGAGGAUUGGCCCGCGUCUGAUUAGCUUGUUGGUGAGGUAAUGGCUCACCAAGGCGACGAUCAGUAGCUGGUCUGAGAGGAUGAUCAGCCACAUUGGGACUGAGACACGGCCCAAACUCCUACGGGAGGCAGCAGUGGGGAAUCUUGCGCAAUGGGCGAAAGCCUGACGCAGCGACGCCGCGUGAGGGAUGACGGCCU
rnacentral:rRNA from 1 species